AAAUAUGGCUAUUGGGAGUCCGAUUUAUCCAUGCUCUAUUGCACGAGUUGAGACUCGUAGCCUACUACUCUCAGCAGAGAGAUACAAACUACCCUGUCGAUCUGUAUCUCUCUCGGAGACUAGAGAUAUCCGGAAUACGGCUCACCGCCUGGAGUGGUGUGAGCCCGAAACGCUCCGGCGCGACAGGAUGUGUCUGCGGCCGAUUAGGUAGACGGUGGGGUAACGGCCCACCGUGCCCAUAAUCGGUACGGGUUGUGAGAGCAAGAGCCCGGAGACGGUAUCUGAGACAAGAUACCGGGCCCUACGGGGCGCAGCAGGCGCGAAACCUUUACACUGCACGCGAGUGCGAUAAGGGGACUCCGAGUGCGAGGGCAUAUAGUCCUCGCUUUUCGCCACCGUAAGGUGGUGGUGGAAUAAGUGCUGGGCAAGACCGGUGCCAGCCGCCGCGGUAAUACCGGCAGCACGAGUGAUGACCGCUAUUAUUGGGCCUAAAGCGUCCGUAGCCUGGCGCGCAAGUCUGUCGGGAAUCUCUCUGCUUAACACACAGGCGUCCGGCAGAACUGCGUGGCUUGGGACGGAAGAUCAGAGGGUACGUCCGGGGUAGGAGUGAAUCCCGUAAUCCUGGACGGACCCCCGGUGGCGAAAAGCGCCUUUGGAAAGACGGAUCCGACGGUGAGGGACGAAAGCUCGGGUCACGAACCGGAUUAGAUACCCGGGUAGUCCGAGCUGUAAACGAUGUUUGCUAAGUUUGGUACAGGCUACGAGCCUUUACUGAGCUCUAGGGAAGCCGUGAAGCGAACCGCCUGGGAAGUACGUCUGCAAGGAUGAAACUUAAAGGAAUUGGCGGGGGAGCACUACAACCGGAGGAGCCUGCGGUUUAAUUGGACUCAACGCCGGACAUCUCACCAGCAUCGACAAUGUGCAGUGAAAGUCAGGUUGAUGACCUUACUGGAGCCAUUGAGAGGAGGUGCAUGGCCGCCGUCAGCUCGUACCGUGAGGCGUCCUGUUAAGUCAGGCAACGAGCGAGACCCGCACUCCUAAUUGCCAGCAACACCUAGCGGUGGUUGGGUACAUUAGGAGGACUGCCAGUGCCAAACUGGAGGAAGGAACGGGCAACGGUAGGUCAGUAUGCCCCGAAUGUGCUGGGCGACACGCGGGCUACAAUGGCCGAGACAGUGGGAUGCAACCCCGAAAGGGGGCGCUAAUCUCCGAAACUCGGUCGUAGUUCGGAUUGAGGGCUGAAACUCGCCCUCAUGAAGCUGGAUUCGGUAGUAAUCGCGCCUCAGAAGGGCGCGGUGAAUACGUUCCCUGCUCCCUUGCACACGCGAACCCGUCAAAGCACCCGAGUGGGGUCCUUAUGAGGGCCGGGAAAGAGCGACCCGGUGCGAAUCUGGGCUCCGCAUAGGGCGGCGCUUAAGUUCGAAACAAGGAGCCUGAGGG
rnacentral:rRNA from 1 species